GCUGGGGGCAGUGGUGCACCCCUGUAAUCCCAGUGGCUUGGGAGUCUGAGGCAGGAGGAUCUCAAGUUUGAAGCCAGCCUUAGUAACUUUGCAAGGCCCUGAGCAACUUGGUGAGACCCUGUCUCAA
rnacentral:sRNA from 1 species